rnacentral:rRNA from 1 species
CACGGCCAGAUUCUAAUGGUCCGUACUAGCACUCCGCCCUCUACCAUAAUGUACUUAUGCCAAAACGAUAUCCUCACUUACAUCCUUAGACCGUUCUGCAUGCACGUACUGUAGUCACAGACACACAUAUACAUGCUGCCAGUACAGCAGUGAGGAAUCUUGGUCAAUGGCCUAACGGCUGAACUGGCAACUUGGAGAAGUGGCAAGUCUUCCAGUAUGGGGAGCAAAACAGCUAUGGGUCAAGUCCGAUAUCUUUAGGAGAAGUCUUAUUGUGAGGGCGAGUUAUAUAACACCAUAGGACUGGCCGUCCCAUAUGAAAAGAUUAUAUUAGAAUUGAAUGAAGCUUUGUUUAUAUAUUGAUAAUGACAGUAUAUAUAUCGUGUCUUGACUAAUUGCGUGCCAGCAGUCGCGGUAAUACGUAAGAGACUAGUGUUAUUCAUCUUAAUUAGGUUUAAAGGGUACCCAGACGGUCAAUAUAGCUUAUAAAAUGUUAGUACUUGACUAGAGUUUUAUGUAAGAGGGCAGUACUUGAGGAGGAGAGAUGAAAUUUCGUGAUACCAAAGGGACUCUGUAAAGGCGAAGGCAGCCCUCUAUGUAAAAACUGACGUUGAAGGACGAAGGCACAGAGAACAAACAGGAUUAGAUACCCAAGUAGUCUUUGCAGUAAAUGAUGAAUGCCAUAGGUUAGAUUGAUCAAUUAUAGUCUAGGGUUAGUCUAGCAAACUAAUGCCCUAUGAUAUAAUUCAAAAUAUCUGGUCUAUAAAUGAAAGUGUAAGCAUUUCACCUCAAGAGUAAUGUGGCAACGCAGGAACUGAAAUC